UCGUCGGAACGUUGGUGUUAAAACGGGCUGCGUCGCAGUGUUCUAAAUUAGAACGCCCGAGGUUUCAGCGUUCCAGGCUAGCCUCCCCCCUUGCGCAAACGCUGCUGUCCCGGGCUCCUGCGGAAGCAGUUGUCAUGGCUGUCCAAGUCCAGGUGGUUUAUUGCGGGGCCUGAGGCUACCGUCCCAAGUAUCAACAGCUCAAGAAGGAACUUGAAAAACAGUUCCCGGGCAAGCUGGAGAUCAGUGGCGAAGGGACCCCUCAGGUCACAGGAUGGUUUGAAGUGACAAUCGCAGGCAAACUGGUGCAUUCAAAAAUGAACGGGGAUGGAUUUGUGGAUAAUGGCAUCAAGCUUUCCAAGAUUGUGGCAGCCAUUAAAGAGGCGUUGGCUUUGGGAUAGGAACAGCAGAAUGCAUCGGUGCCUCCAUACAUAGCACAGCUUGAUGAGCAUUUACUUGGUUCAACUCGGCCGAGCGCUUGAUGACGGGAGUUGCCAAAAUGUCCCGACGCGUGGCCAUUCCCAGAAGUUUUUGCGCAGGAUGCCGGUUUGAACAAAGGCAGAUGAGGAUCCAGCUCUGUGCUUUGGCAUGCUUUAUAUCUGUACGCAACGCCUGUCUAGAGUUGAAACGGACCCUCUAAUGUGCCAUUAAGGUGCCUCUAACUUUGAGUAAUUCUUGAGUGAGUUUCACUGUUCAACCUUACAGAGAAAUCUAGUGCUGAUAUCCCAACAACAAGCUCUUCAUCUGAGGUUGCUGGGAUGAAGGCUGUCAAGUAAAGGAGGGUCACCAUCUGGGAAUCCCAUCAGUGUGGGAAGAAGUAUUAGCAGCUCAUUGUCGGAUAUGGGGGGAACUGGGCGGGAAAUGAGAUAAAAUGUUUUAACAAAUGACUCAAUAGUCUGUUUUAAUUUGAACUCAGGAUUUUUAUAAACUCCCAACAUUUUCUUAAACUGGUGUCGAAACAGUUUUCCCCUCUUCUGCAGAACCUUGAUGCAGUCCUGACAAAUCGCAUUGAGAUGUCCCAGCUAGGCAGUGGAGUUUGCUCACAAAACAUAACCUCUGAAUCUGGGUAUUUCUGAAUAGUGAUAAUGCACUUCCUCCUUCCAGAAUCACCUAGUGUUACAAAACUGUCUUUCUGGGUUUUUGUUGUUGUUGGUGUUGUAUGAUUAACUUUUGUUGCACUUCAGAAAGGUGUCUGUCAAAUAAAAUAAUGAAAGUCAUAAA